rnacentral:lncRNA from 1 species
AUGAUGUACUGGCUCCCUGUAACGCUGCACUGUUUCUUGUUUCUAGGAAAAAAAAAAGAGAUGGAGGGGAGAAAAUACAUGAAGAUUAAUAUAGAUGUAACUUCUUGGGGAAGAAUAACUUUGCUGUUUAGCUUCAGCCUCUUUGCAUCAAGUUCAGCCUUUUCACAAGCCUUGCUCCCAUUCCAGUCACCGUGUUCAGCUCUGGUUUCAUGUCAUGAGCAGAUCUCCCAACAGACUGACAGAAGCAGACGUGAAUUUGUGAUGAGGAGCAAGCAGUACACCAGGUUAGUGCACCAACUGAGAACUGUUUUCCUUGCAAUAGAGGAGGCUUCCUCAGAUUUAAAAAAGAAAGGGGAUAAUCAACCUUUUCUAAAAUUUGGGAAGUUUUAUGUUGCAAAGAGUGCUGGAUUUCAGUAUUCACAAGGACCAUCAGCUAGCAAUUAUCCUGUAAGCUCUUCAACUCUCAGAUCGAAUGGGAAUCAGUG